rnacentral:piRNA from 1 species
UAGCUUAUUUAAGAAAGGGUACCACGGA